UAAACUUGUGCAUGAUGAUUGGAUGACGUAAAGGCAUUUUAUGAGGUGGACUGAACUACUUUGAGAUAUAUUGAUAACACUUCACACACAAAAUGAAAGGAACGGCAGGCAGAUUUAAAUAAAACAAUGUUUGAUGCUGAAUUGACUAAUGAACAGCUAUUGAAAAAACGUGAUGACAGAAUUUGUGAAGCUGAUUGGAAGGACCUUAUUAAAUAUUGGAGAUCUCCUCAAUUUGAAGUUGUGGUGGCUGCAUUUGUUACAUGGCUUAGCUG